GAUGAAGAACGUAGCGAAACGCGAUAUGUAAUGUGAAUUGCAGAAUUCAGUGAAUCAUCGAAUCUUUGAACGCACAUUGCGCCCCCUGGUAUUCCGGGGGGCAUGCCUGUCCGAGCGUCAUUGCUGCCCUCAAGCACGGCUUGUGUGUUGGGCCUCCGUCCUCCUCCCGGGGGACGGGCCCGAAAGGCAGCGGCGGCACCGCGUCCGGUCCUCGAGCGUAUGGGGCUUCGUCACCCGCUCUUGUAGGCCCGGCCGGCGCUUGCCGACACAUCAAUCUUUUUUCCAGGUUGACCUCGGAUCAGGUAGGGAUACCCGCUGAACUUAAGCAUAUCAAUAAGCGGAGGA
rnacentral:misc_RNA from 1 species